UACGUAGGGGGCUAGCGUUGUCCGGAUUUAUUGGGCGUAAAGAGCGUGUAGGCGGCCAGGUAGGUCUGCUGUGAAAACUCGAGGCUCAACCUCGAGAUGUCGGCGGAAACCAUCUGGCUAGAGUCCGGAAGAGGAGAGUGGAAUUCCUGGUGUAGCGGUGAAAUGCGCAGAUAUCAGGAAGAACACCCGUGGCGAAGGCGGCUCUCUGGGACGGUACUGACGCUGAGGCACGAAAGCGUGGGGAGCGAACAGG
rnacentral:rRNA from 1 species